rnacentral:rRNA from 1 species
CCUACGGGAGACAGCAGUGGGGAAUAUUGGGCAAUGGACGCAAGUCUGACCCAGCAACGCCGCGUGAAGGAAGAAGGCUUUCGGGUUGUAAACUUCUUUUAAGGGGGAAGAGGAGAAGAAGGUACCCCUUGAAUAAGCCACGGCUAACUACGUGCCAGCAGCCGCGGUAAUUCGUAGGUGGCAAGCGUUGUACGGAGUUACGGGGGGGAAGGGGCGUGCAGGCGGGCCGAAAAGUGAGAUGUGAAAUCCGCGGGCUUAACCCGGGAACUGCCUUUCAAACUUGAGGUCUUGAGGGCCGGAGAGGUAAGCGGAAUUCCUUGUGUAGCGGUGAAAUGCGUAGAUAUAAGGAAGAACACCAGUGGCGAAGGCGGAUUACUGGACGGUAACUGACGGUGAGGCGCGAAAGCGUGGGGAGCAAACAGGAUUAGAUACCCCUGUAGUC